rnacentral:tRNA from 1 species
ACCUGGUUGGCUCAGUCGGUUGAGCUUCUGACUUCAGCUCAGGUCCUGAUCUUGCAGUUUGUGAGUUUGAGCCCCACAUUGGGCU